rnacentral:rRNA from 1 species
GCUUCGGUGGUGGAUUAGUGGCGAACGGGUGAGUAACACGUGGGCAAUCUGCCCUUCACUCUGGGACAAGCCCUGGAAACGGGGUCUAAUACCGGAUACCACUUCGUCCCGCAUGGGACGGGGUUGAAAGCUCCGGCGGUGAAGGAUGAGCCCGCGGCCUAUCAGCUUGUUGGUGGGGUGAUGGCCUACCAAGGCGACGACGGGUAGCCGGCCUGAGAGGGCGACCGGCCACACUGGGACUGAGACACGGCCCAGACUCCUACGGGAGGCAGCAGUGGGGAAUAUUGCACAAUGGGCGAAAGCCUGAUGCAGCGACGCCGCGUGAGGGAUGACGGCCUUCGGGUUGUAAACCUCUUUCAGCAGGGAAGAAGCGCAAGUGACGGUACCUGCAGAAGAAGCGCCGGCUAACUACGUGCCAGCAGCCGCGGUAAUACGUAGGGCGCAAGCGUUGUCCGGAAUUAUUGGGCGUAAAGAGCUCGUAGGCGGCUUGUCGCGUCGGUUGUGAAAGCCCGGGGCUUAACCCCGGGUCUGCAGUCGAUACGGGCAGGCUAGAGUGUGGUAGGGGAGAUCGGAAUUCCUGGUGUAGCGGUGAAAUGCGCAGAUAUCAGGAGGAACACCGGUGGCGAAGGCGGAUCUCUGGGCCAUUACUGACGCUGAGGAGCGAAAGCGUGGGGAGCGAACAGGAUUAGAUACCCUGGUAGUCCACGCCGUAAACGUUGGGAACUAGGUGUUGGCGACAUUCCACGUCGUCGGUGCCGCAGCUAACGCAUUAAGUUCCCCG